rnacentral:rRNA from 1 species
UACAGAGGGUGCGAGCGUUAAUCGGAAUUACUGGGCGUAAAGCGCGCGUAGGCGGUUUUGCAAGUCGGGUGUGAAAUCCCCAGGCUUAACCUGGGAACUGCAUUCGAGACUGCAUUACUAGAGUAUGGGAGAGGGAAGUGGAAUUUCCGGUGUAGCGGUGAAAUGCGUAGAUAUCGGAAGGAACAUCAGUGGCGAAAGCGACUUCCUGGCCCGCUACUGACGCUGAGGCGCGAAAGCCAGGGGAGCGAACGGG